rnacentral:lncRNA from 1 species
CAGAGGGAGCCCCUGCAUGACUUAAGAAAACCGAAGGCAGGCAGAACAGAGACUUUUCAGGGUGCGAAGUUACGCAUGGUGCCCUCUACUGGAGUCACUGGUAAAGAGUUUUGAUUUCAAAAAGAAAUUGACGUAGAAUUUGUUCUUGUUCCAUUGUAUUGGUGAAGAAACUGAAGUUCAAAGUAAUUGGCAGAACAUACUACUUUGGGCAGUAUGGGAGUAGAGGCCUAUGGACGACCAGCAACAGGCUCCCUCAUAGGACUAAAGACUUCACCAUUCCCAUAGGAAGCCUUUUUCGUUAAGUGUACCAGCUUCAAGCAGCUAGAAACAAAUUUGAUUUAGCAAUUCAAAGUUUGCCAACCAUGGAUUACAGAGCAAACAAAACAAAACCUCAAGGACAAAAUAAAGAAGCAGAACACCUUGAAGAAAGAGCUGAUUCCAACUCUGAAGUGGGAAAUGUAUAGGAUGGGCGUGGUAGAAGAUCAGAAAGCUAUCAAAAACAAUUGAGGACAUGUUCAAAGAACUCAGGUGACAAAAGAGGAUCCCACUGGCCAAAAAUGGGACAAUCCAAAGCUCAAUGAAAAGAGCAAUUAUCCUAAGUUUGUAUGAAUCUGAGUCCCCAUCCAAGCUCUUUCACUUUAUUCUUUAGGUAAAAAUUGAGAUAAAUAGAACUUAUAAUCUUAUCCUCUUCCACCCUUAUGAGUCGUGUGCUUAUGACACCUAGGGAUGCUCAUCCACUUUGGAGACCACUGGUCCACUGGACUAGCUGAGAGAGGAGGAAUUUGUAGCUUGGGUUUACCUAUCACACAGUUGAAGUCUUAUCCAUCCUCCUCUUUACUGUGGUCCCCAGAACUGUGUCUUGAACAUGGCAAAAACUUGUUCAGCUGUCAUGAGAAAGUUGAGUGAUGAGACCUUGAGCGGGAAUCAUCAAUGAAAGGGCCAAGGAGAUGAGAUGGAGCAUUGUAAUCAACAAAAGUGCUAAACACCAAGAAGUGUUGUCCCAUAUUUUAUUACACUUGAGAAUGUCUUGCUAUUUUAGACGUUACAAGGUAUGGCAAGACAAUCUUGUAGCAGUGCUAGAAUGAUUCGUUGAAAUGCAUUCAAUCAGAAAUAAAAGAUGCUGUUAAUAACUGUCAC